GAUGAACGCUGGCGGCGUGCUUAACACAUGCAAGUCGAACGGGAAACCUUUUACUGACGCUUCGGCAGAUUUAGCUGGUUUCUAGUGGCGGACGGGUGAGUAACGCGUGGGUAACCUGCCUUAUACAGGGGGAUAACAGUCAGAAAUGACUGCUAAUACCGCAUAAGCGCACAGGACCGCAUGGUCCGGUGUGAAAAACUCCGGUGGUAUAAGAUGGACCCGCGUUGGAUUAGCUUGUUGGUGGGGUAACGGCUCACCAAGGCGACGAUCCAUAGCCGGCCUGAGAGGGUGAACGGCCACAUUGGGACUGAGACACGGCCCAGACUCCUACGGGAGGCAGCAGUGGGGAAUAUUGCACAAUGGGGGAAACCCUGAUGCAGCGACGCCGCGUGAAGGAAGAAGUAUCUCGGUAUGUAAACUUCUAUCAGCAGGGAAGAUAGUGACGGUACCUGACUAAGAAGCCCCGGCUAACUACGUG
rnacentral:rRNA from 1 species